CAAGAUGGCAGAGAGGAUAAUAAAUCUCACCCUAGAGAUCCUCUUCCGGCUUACUGGAGAGGACUACACAGUAGUGAAGAAGACCUCUAGUGAGCGCUGUCAGGCCCCUGUGUCUGAAGGAUGGGGGAGAACCCUGAGACCAAUCAUGGGGCCUCCACCUCACCCCCUGAUCCAUGAGGAAUUCAAUAGAGAGAAGAUCCUAGAACUCGCCAACAAAUUAAUUGAGCUGCUGACUGGAGAGGUUCCUAUAAGGUGUCAGGAUGUCACAGUCUUUUUCUCCAU